AUGACGGUGGCGGCGGGGGUGGGGUACGCGCUCAUCGCGCUGGGCCCCGCCUUCUCCCUCUUCGCCGGCGUCAUCGCCCGGAAGCCCUUCCUCGUCCUCACCCUCCUCUCCAGCACGUUGUUUUGGCUUAUAAGUUUGAUUGUCCUCUCGGGAAUAUGGAGGGGGUUUCUUCCUCUAAAAUCAGGAGUGUGGUGGCCAUAUGUGAUUUUGAUCCUUACAUCUGUUGCAUUUCAAGAAGGCAUCCGUCUUGUCUUCUGGAGGCUUUACAAGAAAAUGGAAGAGAUGCUAGAUGCCUUUGCUGACAGAAUAUCUAAACCACGUCUCUGUUUGACAGACAAGAUGCUAAUCUCUUUGGCUGGUGGUUUAGGUCAUGGACUGGCUCAUGCGGUCUUUUUCUGCCUCAGCCUCCUAACUCCAGCAUUUGGUCAAGCAACAUUUUAUGUUGAGAGGUGCUCAAGGAUGCCAUUUUUCCUUGUGUCGGCAAUUAUUGCACUUGGAUUCUUGGUCAUCCAUACUUCCUCGAUGAUUAUUGCUUUUAAUGGAUAUGGAGAGAGAAAGAAGAGGGACCAAAUCUUUGUCCCAGUGGUUCACCUGAUUGCUGCUGUAAUGACAUUGAUCAACCUUGUGCCAGGGGGUUGCCUCGUCGGCACACCUUUACUGUGCGUGACGGCUGCGAUGACCUUGUACUACUCCUGGCAAGUGGUGGGGCAGAGAAUAACAGAGCACCAACAUCGACAGUCUUAA
rnacentral:rRNA from 1 species